rnacentral:rRNA from 1 species
AGACGUAGGAUGCAAGCGUUGUCCGGAUUCAUUGGGCGUAAAGAGUUCGUAGGCGGUUUGUUAAGUCUGAUGUUAAAGAUCGGGGCCUAACCCUGGGAGUGCAUUGGAUACUGGCAGACUGGAGUACAGUAGAGGCGAGUGGAAUUCCCAGUGUAGCGGUGAAAUGCGUAGAUAUUGGGAAGAACACCGGUGGCGCAGGCGACUCGCUGGGCUGUUACUGACGCUGAGGAACGAAAGCUAGGGGAGCAAAUGGGAUUAGAUACCCCAGUAGUCCUAGCUGUAAACGAUGGAUACUAGGCGUUGCAGGUAUCGACCCCUGCAGUGCCGCAGUUAACGCGAUAAGUAUCCCGCCUGAGUAGUACGGCCGCAAGGUUGAA